rnacentral:rRNA from 1 species
UACGGGGGGAGCAAGCGUUGUUCGGAUUUACUGGCGUAAAGGGCGCGUAGGCGGCCUGCUAAGUCACACGUGAAAUCCCUCGGCUCAACCGGGGAACUGCGUGUGAUACUGGCGGGCUUGAAUUCGGGAGAGGGAUGUGGAAUUCCAGGUGUAGCGGUGAAAUGCGCAGAUAUCGGGAAGAACACCUAUGGCGAAGGCAGCUCUCUGGGACGGUACUGACGCUGAGACGCGAAAGCGUGGGGAGCGAACAGG